rnacentral:tRNA from 1 species
CACAUCCCGGCGGACUGCAACACCGUGCAGGUGUUCA